rnacentral:tRNA from 1 species
GGUCAGUGGCUAUCCCGUCCGCCUGAAAAGCGGAAGGUCGGCGGUUCGAUCCCGCCCCUGGCCA